rnacentral:ncRNA from 1 species
GUGUUGGAUGAAAGGAGAGGAGGUUAGAACUCCCCUUGAUAAGGAUGGAUGAGGCUUUAGUGUCUUCACAACACAUAUACAGUUAAGGCAUUGACACAUACUCUGUGGCAUCUAACCAUGUUUUUAA